AGUGAACGCUGGCGGUAGGCCUAACACAUGCAAGUCGAACGGCAGCACAGUAAGAGCUUGCUCUUACGGGUGGCGAGUGGCGGACGGGUGAGGAAUACAUCGGAAUCUACUUUUUCGUGGGGGAUAACGUAGGGAAACUUACGCUAAUACCGCAUACGACCUACGGGUGAAAGCAGGGGAUCUUCUGACCUUGCGCGAUUGAAUGAGCCGAUGUCGGAUUAGCUAGUUGGCGGGGUAAAGGCCCACCAAGGCGACGAUCCGUAGCUGGUCUGAGAGGAUGAUCAGCAACACUGGAACUGAGACACGGUCCAGACUCCUACGGGAGGCAGCAGUGGGGAAUAUUGGACAAUGGGCGCAAGCCUGAUCCAGAAAUACCGCGUGGGUGAAGAAGGCCUUCGGGUUGUAAAGCCCUUUUGUUGGGAAAGAAAAGCAGCAGGUUAAUACCCCGCUGUUCUGACGGUACCCAAAGAAUAAGCACCGGCUAACUUCGUG
rnacentral:rRNA from 1 species